AAUUAAUGUGUUAAACAGUAUGAGUUGCUCACCAAAGAUAUAGCGGUCAUCCGUUGACCAUUUAAGAUAUAAAUGUCGAAGAAUAUCAAAAUAUAGAUUAAGAAAUAUAACCAAAUCAUACAAUAAAAUGUAAUACGUGAAAAUAUUCAUUUCAGAUUAUGGAAGAGAUUUCAGCGAACGGACAGAACACAGUUUAAGUCUUGAUGGUGGGUUUUUAAUUAUAUUACCUCAUCGAUUUCCAUAAAGAUUCUGUCUUAUUUCACUGAUAGUAAAUUUACCAUGACCUUGUAUGACGUAAAUUAGGUGUUGACAGUUUUGGGGGACAUCUGAUAUUUCUUUCCUCUACACCUGUGUAGGAAUUAAUUAUUACUCACUUAGGAUGAAAUCUAUGUCAUUAAGGUGUCUUCAAAUAUUUUCUACAUCAGAUGACAUUCUGAUGUACGUAGAUGUGGGCAGUUAAAAUUAAAGAUUACCAGCAGCAAUGUUUCACAGAGAGAGUAGGUGUUUGUAGUCUAAAGUGAAAUGUAUUUGAAGAUAGAUAUUUGAUGAUUAACCUUGUUGACAGUGGAAGUGAGCAGAAAAUUAUAAGAAUGUUUGAUUAGUGAGGUCUACUGUAGAUGUCAAAACGCCAUGUCAUAGAUGCGUCACAAAUACGUACGUUGAUGUGGGCAGCUAAAAUCAAAGAUUAACAGAAGAAAUAUUUCACAGAGAGCAGGUACUUUCUGUCUAACGGUAAGUGGUGUGGUCAGUUUUUGUAGAUAGAUAUAUGGUUAUCAACUUGCUUGACAUUGCAGUUGAGCAGAAAAUGAGAAGUUUGGUUCAUGAGGUUUACUACGGUAGAGGUGAAAACGUUAUGUCAUAAAUGUGACAGAAAUACCACCUUGACCAUGAUCGACUGACUGAGUGUAUUGAGGGCACCAGAGAUUACAGUGCACCCUCCACUUCUGUCUUCAUCUUGACCUUCUCACCUACGUAGCAUGUCGUAUUUCGUCAAAAACUCACCUUUGGAUACGCUCUCAGUGACCUCCUCUGCUCGCGUAUAUAACUCUCAACAUCUGUGCAUCUCUAAAUAUUUUCAGUGAGCUGGUUACCUGUCCCAUCUGAAAUUUUGUCAUUUACCAUGAGCUUAUAUGAAGUAAAUUAGGUGUUGACAGUUUUGGGGGACAUCUAAUAUUUCUUUCCUCUACACCUGUGUAGGAUUAAUUAUUACUCACUUGGGAUGAAAUCUAUGUCAUUAAGGUGUCUUCAAAUAUUUUCCACAUCAGAUGACAUUCUGAUGUACGUAGAUGUGGGCAGUUAAAAUUAAAGAUUACCAGCAGCAAUGUUUCACAGAGAGAGCAGGUGCUUGUUGUUUGAAGUGAAAUGGUGUGAAAUGUAUUUGAAGACAGAUAUUUGAUGAUUAACCUUGUUGACACUGGAAGUGAGCAGAAAAUUAUAAGAUUGUUUGAUUAGUGAGUUCGACUGUAGAUGUGAAAACGCCAUGUCACAGAUGCGUCACAAAUACGCAGGUUGAUGUGGGCAGCUAAUUUCAGGUACUUUCUGUCUAACGGUAAGUGGUGUGACCAGCUUAUGUAGAUCGAUAUAUGGUUAUCAACUUGCUUGGCAUUUGAGUUGAGCAGAAAACGAGAAGUUUGGUUCGUGAGGUUUACUACGGUAGAGGUGAAAACGCUAUGUCAUAGAUGUGACAGAAAUACCUCCUUGACCAUGAUCGACUGACUGAGUGUAUUGACGACACCAGAGAUCACAGUGCACCUCCACUUCUGUCUUCAUUUUGACCUUCUCACCUACGUAGCAUGUCGUAUUUCGUCAAACACUCACUUUUGGAUUCGCUCUCAGUGACCUCCUCUGCUCGCGUAUAUAACUCUCAACAACUGUGCAUCUCUAAAUAUUUUCAGUGAGCUGGAUAGCCGAAUUUUCAACACGAAGAAUAUUUCACAGAGCCUGUAUCCAUCCCCUUUUACAACCAUCUUCUGGAGUAGAUGAAUCAGAGGAAGACU
rnacentral:lncRNA from 1 species